UGACCCAUUACAUUUUAAUUUCAAAAAAAGAAUGAAGGAUUUUUUACUCCAGGUAUGUCCCAUGCAAUAUUUGGGACAUACUUAUACUAAAAAUGACUUGUUAUUCAUCUGACAUUCAGAUGAACUGGGUGU
rnacentral:miRNA from 1 species